GAUGAACGCUGGCGGCGUGCCUAAUACAUGCAAGUCGAGCGAACGGACGAGAAGCUUGCUUCUCUGAUGUUAGCGGCGGACGGGUGAGUAACACGUGGAUAACCUACCUAUAAGACUGGGAUAACUUCGGGAAACCGGAGCUAAUACCGGAUGAUAUUUUGAACCGCAUGGUUCAAAAGUGAAAGACGGUCUUGCUGUCACUUAUAGAUGGAUCCGCGCUGCAUUAGCUAGUUGGUAAGGUAACGGCUUACCAAGGCAACGAUGCAUAGCCGACCUGAGAGGAUGAUCGGCCACACUGGAACUGAGACACGGUCCAGACUCCUACGGGAGGCAGCAGUAGGGAAUUUUCCGCAAUGGGCGAAAGCCUGACGGAGCAACGCCGCGUGAGUGAUGAAGGUCUUCGGAUCGUAAAACUCUGUUAUUAGGGAAGAACAUAUGUGUAAGUAACUGUGCACAUCUUGACGGUACCUAAUCAGAAAGCCACGGCUAACUACGUG
rnacentral:rRNA from 1 species